GCCUAAUAAUCACACAGCUUUAGCUAACCUGAAGCCCUCUGCUUUGUGUGGGUAUCAAGGUGAUCAGUUAGUUUAGUUUAUUUUUGUAUUGUGAGGGCUUUACUAUUGCUUCCAGUUGGGUAUGUUAAAGAGCAUAGUAUGUUUGAGAGUGUUGCAGCCAGAGAAGAGACUACAAUCAAUAAAAACACACCAGAACAAUUUCUUGAAGAAGGUGUUUGUGCACCGGUUCCUGUGUGGGUCUCCUCAUCAAUGUUUGCUUUCUGAGAGGGGUGAUUGCUAAGCAUUGAGAAGGUAUUGGAGAUCCCACUGGCUGCAGACUGAUGGGCUGAUGCUACUGAAUUUGGGGUCAUUUUACUGAAAUCAAAGGAGUUAUGUGGCUGUAAGAUCAGAGUGAGCAGAAAUGGCCCUGAUAGUUCACAUGCUGGGUGGCAGGCAAAUGAUGAAACUCAGUGAUGCUUGGAGACUAAAUAUCUUUCCCAGCAGGUUUCUACUGUUUCUCUGCUCGACAGCCAGCUACUGUAUCUUUCGCCUGGAAGUGACUUACUUAGAACUGACAAUUCCAAUGGUCCUGAAGAUCGGCAUGCUGGGACCACCUCACAUGAGCAGCAGUUGUGAAAACCUGGCUCUUCCAUCCACCAUGAAAGUAAGCUCAUUAUGUCAUUGUCAGAGGAAGCUGCCAGGACAUGGAUAGAGAGGCUGCAUUUAUUCAGCGUGGUAUUCCAGAUGGGAAAGCACUGCCCUGAUUCCAGCCUAGCAAGCUGGCUGCCUGUGCAUUGCAUAGACUUUAUACUUAGAGUAUACAGAUGUAGUGUACUCCAAGUGAACAAAGGAAGGAGGUUGUGAAGGAUUUCUAGUAAAGCAUGUUAAAUAUAUAUAAUUUUUAUAAAAAAAAGAAAGUUUGGAAUCUUUAAUCAAUGUUUUUCAUUACCAAAAAAAGACACCCCCCCCAGUAUGUUUUUUAAAACGGCUUUUAAAAAAUGCAAGUUAUGACUGGAAAUUGCUGAUCUGCUCUAAUGCUUAGUGCAUAUCUGCACUGCCUCCUAAUAGCACCACAGAGUGUUGCAGAAGAGCAAAGCUGCCAGUCAUCUCCCUACUCUGUUCAUGCUGUCUGUCAUUUUUCUUGGCGUGUGCCCAGGUCUGCUCCAGCAUUGCAUUUGCUUCUGGAUUUAAUGUACACCCAGUGGUACACAGCUCUCCACUGCAGUAUCCCCAAGCCUGGUCUAGAGUACU